GUUGNAAACGACUGCUAAUACCGCAUACGCCCUACGGGGGAAAGGAGGGGACCUUCAGGCCUUUCGCGAUUGGAUGAACCCAGGUGNNAUUAGCUAGUUGGUGGGGUAAUGGCUCACCAAGGCGACGAUCCCUANCUGGUCUGAGAGGAUGAUCAGCCACACUGGAACUGANACACGGUCCAGACUCCUACGGGAGGCAGCAGUGGGGAAUAUUGCACAAUGGGGGAAACCCUGAUGCAGCCAUGCCGCGUGUGUGAAGAAGGCCUUCGGGUUGUAAAGCACUUUCAGCGAGGAGGAAAGGUUGGCGCCUAAUACGUGUCAACUGUGACGUUACUCGCAGAAGAAGCACCGGCUAACUCCGUGCCAGCAGCCGCGGUAAUACGGAGGGUGCAAGCGUUAAUCGGAAUUACUGGGCGUAAAGCGCACGCAGGCGGUUGGAUAAGUUAGAUGUGAAAGCCCCGGGCUCAACCUGGGAAUUGCAUUUAAAACUGUCCAGCUAGAGUCUUGUAGAGGGGGGUAGAAUUCCAGGUGUAGCGGUGAAAUGCGUAAAGAUCUGGAGGAAUACCGGNUGGCGAAGGCGGCCCCCUGGACAAAGACUGA
rnacentral:rRNA from 1 species